CUCCUUGGUGUCUUAAACCAGAAAUUUUCGGUCCUCUAGUGCUCCAAGAAACCGUGAAAAACUCCUCCUUUUGCUAGCUAGAUGAACUCUCCAAGCAACAAGCUAAGUGUAGUUCAAAUUUGGUGUGAAUCUAUGAAGGUUUUGUGCAAGAAUUGAAGAUGAAAAUGGCAACUUUGUGUUGUGUUUUUGCUGCAGAGAAUUCGGCCAAGAGAGAGACUAAGAGAGAGAGUGUUUGGUCCAAAUUUAGCUUCUUAAGGAAGACACAAUGUGUGGUGCAAAUUAUCCCCAAAGUCAACUCUCAUUAAGGCUCGUUUGGCACGUUUUAGGCUCGAUUUUCUCGCGCGUUUGGUUCACUAGUGCACUAAGCCUCUAAUGCAUAUAUAUUCAUGUAAAUAUUCUUCACUCUUAAUUGUCCCGAAAUAAGGGUCUAAAGUCCCUCAAAUGAAGUCGCGCGUGUGAAAACGCGUACCGUCAAAUUUUAACGCUAUAACGCGAAACCUCCGAGAAAUUUUUAUAACGAUUGCACUACUAACUAUCACUUGAGUGUUUAUUCAUAAUAUUACCUAUUUUAGAACCACAGUACAAGUUUCCAGUAUUCCAAACUUAUUGUGUUUCUACGCGGUAAAAUCUCCAAGCACUAUUCACUAUUUUUACUAAACGCACUCCAAGAAAUUAAUUUUUGAAACGAGUCACUUUUAAAAUAUAACGAAGUUAUAUUAUCAUGUAUUUAGGUCUAAUAAGUCUAGAAAAUAUUUCUCGUGGCAAAAAUCCAAUUAAAUAAUUUAUUAAGCCAUAAAUUUAGGUUUAAAUAAAAUAAUAGUUUUUACGAGUCCUCACAUGAGUCGAGUAUUAACUCCUCAAAUCUCCAAUAAUUGUAUCCAUACAUCUUUUGGAAAACUAUCCAACGUGAGUAGUAUAUGCUCACUUAGAACUUAUUCGCCUUUAAUUCUCGAUUAACUUUUCUUAAUCUGCUAUUGUCCGUUCUUAAUUUCCCAGGAUAAUCAUACUUUCGAAUAUAAUAUCACCUCGAAACACUCGUGUUCACUAUUUCUCGCCUAACCAAUCCUUCCGAAAAUUGAAGUUGUUAACAGGACAUUUUAAAAAUAUAAUGAAGACAUUAUUCCAUACGAAUGGAUUUAAAAUGGUCGUAAUAAAUUAUUUGGGGAAAACAGGUGGAUAAAUACUUAAUUAAACCAUUAAUAUUCGAUAAAAUAAGAAAUUUUUCGGGUCUUCACAUCCUCCCCUCCUUAACAGAAUUUCGUCCUCGAAAUUCACACCUGAGGAAAUAUCAUUCCCCUCAUGGUUAAGCCUAUCAGAUCGAUCACCAACUUACGUUCUUCCAACUUAUGCAUGACAGAUUCCAUUCUUUCGACUAGCAAUCAAACCCUUUUUUUUUUUUUAGGCGCUUCAACUUCCGAGUCAUAGAGCAACUUAAUCGGCCUCAUGUCUACCUCAUAUAGGCAAUAUCUUAACUUCUUUAAAGCAAAUAUUGUAGUUAUUUACUCCCAAUCAGGAGUUGGCUACUUCAUCUCGUAAUAUUUUAACUUCCUAGAGGCAUAUACAAACACCUUUUCAUGUUUUAUUAAUAUACAUUCUAAACCAUCAUUUGAGUCAUCUGUAAAAAGCACAAGAUUACCCCCUACACCUAUACACCAAUUAACAUUCUUCAUCUCAAGAUUUUUCCUUAUAUUUAGAACCUCAAAUGGUUUGCCAAGUCUUGCACUCUUACAAAAAUCCUUGAUAAACCAAAGGUAGUAUUCGACUAACUCCGAGAAUUCCAAAUUUCAAUAUGCUUUUCUGGUCGUUUCCUCUUAUACAAUCUUUCAUUUUAGCUGAGUCAAUAAUAAUUCCUUCCUUAGAUACUGUAUAACGUAGAAAGAUUAUUUCUUCCAAUCGAACUCACAGUUAUUGAACUUAACAAAAGUUGGCGUUCUCUCGAGGUUCGUAAAAUUACCAUCAAGUGUCUUUCAUGACUUUCUCAACACUAGAGUAUAUCGAUAUAUCAUCAAUAAAUGCCUCCACUGAUUUGUCCAAAUACGGUUUAACUCCGAUACCUUGGGUCCAUAAAUACUUCUAGUGCAUCUGUCAACUCGAAGGGUAUACCGAAAAUUUUAGAGUGUCCAUGUCUUAAUUUGAAAGUGGUAUUAACCACAUUAGUUCCUAGGGUUCCCAAAUGGGUAAUAUCUCUUCUUUAAAUCCAACUUAAAUAGGAUCACGGCUCCUUACAAAUUAUUGAAUUCUUAUCCAUGUAAGAAAAAUGGUGGUUGCUCUUAAUGGUCACAUCGCUCCAGACUCCAUAAUCUAUCAAUACAUAGCUUCUAGCCUUCAUUCCAAAUACGAUAUCUAGUCCUUAAUCGUUAUGCACAUUGAAUCCAUUAAUUAUUUCCUUUCACUAACUCACAUCCACCGAUUUUAAUAUCUCAAAUUGGCAUUUCAAUCAUUGAAUUCCAUUUCAACACUAAGUCCUCACUUCGAUCCCGAUCUCUAGUCACUAUCAAGACCUCAGGUGGUCUAUAUUCUCAAGAAAAAUCUCGAUCACAUCCAAUACCUUUCGUGUCUUAUUAUAAUUCUAAGGGCGUGGAACAGGAUUUAAACAUACGUGUAGGUCAUAAAAACAAUUAAAAGCGAAGUAAAUUUUCAUGAGUCAUAAAGAUCAUAAUAAUUACAUCCAGUUGGAAGAGGUUUAUGGACUCCUCUCAAAAAGGAAAGGAGAAACGACAGGAUUGUAGCAAAACAUGUCAAGUUGCCAGGAUACAAAACAACAAAAGACUUUUUCUCUUUUCAAAAGAUCACAACCUCCAAAGGUGCUAGCCUAGUCUAGGGUAAAACUACAACCUCUAUUCCUCGAGUGAAGUCAAACCAUCUCAAUCUGUGAAACCCUCACUACUAGGACCCCGUUCAUAGCCAUUAGUACUAAUUACUCCCAUCUGGCACUUGAUCGCUUUGCGGUGGACCUAGUUGGCUAUUGAGUACUUCCUCUUUUUAAAAGUUUUAGGGCAAUCUGAAAUCCUAUGCUUGGUACUACCGCACCCCAGACACUUUCCUUGCUUCAUCCAGCACUCGGCCUCAACGUGGUUAACCUUGCCGCAGUAUCCACAAUGUGCAUGAGAAGUGGCGGCUUGGUCAGUUCGAGGCUUUUCUUUGCAUUUCUUCUCUAAUCCUACAUUUUGGCGUAGUAAUUCAAUUUUCUCUGCAUAUUCUUGUUUCCACCGUUCUUCCCAGUAGUCAGCUAAUUUCCUUUGAAAUUCUACCUCGUUUCGAAGAAGGUUCAAUUCCUUACGCAUUUCUUCCAAAAUUGUCAUCUUACCAGUUGGCUUAAGUCAAAUGCUAACCUGUCAGGCAAAUCGAAGGAUCAAAAGAGUAGCCAUGCAUAAUGGAAGUUCGAGCCAGAUUACUCUUUCAUUCUUUUGUUUAUAGGGCACCCCGAAAUAUAAAUCUUAGUUGUUCUCUGCCGAACAUGGGUGAGUUCUUAAGUCUCCAUAAAAUUACUACCAUUAAUUCCAAUUACAACCAGAUACGGGGACUCUAUUCCUUGAUAUAAAGUUUUUCGUGUCUUACUUCAAUCUUCGAUAUUUGUCUAUGAAGUUUGUUCGAAAAGAGAUCAAAAUCUCGCAGUCCCAUUAGUGCCUUAUGUAUCUUUUCAAAUCAAUCUUACUGUUUCAAGGUUAGGUCCCCUGUGAAACCUAGAUAGACGACCUCCAAGAAUCAUUUCAUUUUCACACCUCUCCUGGUCCUUAGGUUGGCUUAUUGGUCCGGAGCUUUGGUACUCAACCAACUGUUCUAGGAUAUCAGUCGUAUGGUCAAUAGUAGAAGCUAUGUAAGUGUUCUCCUUUAUUUCUAGGGUUUCGGUUCAAUCCAGCAAUCGUUCCCUAACUAUCCCCUGGAGCUUGGGGUGGUCUAACCCCCUCGCCCUCAAUCCCUUUUUGCUUAUUUGGUCACUCGUAACUUUAACAGUCAUAUAAACAUGGUAUGAAAUGAACGCACCCAAACGAAGUUUGAAAGUGAGACUUUGAUCAUGCUAAACAAAUAUGAGAAUAAAAGGGAAAACGCUGAGAUAAUCGUAAAUACGUAUAACCCCAAUCAUGGAUUUGAAAUCAUAAAGUAGUAAGGUUAAACAUGUCAUGAGAAAUGUUUAAUUGCCUUAAAAGGUAGAAACAUAUUGAAACAAGAUACAAAAUACAACGGCCUUUAAGCGAGCGUCACCCUGUCUAUCUUUGGCAAAACUAUUAAAAUAGUUUAAAUCGCUAAAUUAGUGAUUGGCAGAACCCAAAAGUCUUCACUACCUCCCUAGGAUCAGUUUCAUUUCCAGCACUAGGAGUUUUAGAUCUCAGGUCCCUUAUCAAAUAUCUUGUCAUUCUCCACUCAUUCAACCAAGGUAACACACCUAGCCACCGACUCAUCCAUUCUGUCUUUAAUUUCGGCACUAACCUAACAAGUCGGUUCUUAGCUUUUAAAGCUUCUCACUAAGAGCCUUUGUCUCCCUCGCUCCAGAAGUACUUCAACUUCAAUUUCAGGAAUUCUAGUAGUCUAGGCAUCCGCAAUUGUCCUCAGUUCUCGAUCAUCCCUUCGAAUCACUCCAUUUUCUUCGGAUAGCCACUUCAAAUGAUCGACCACUAUUAACACCCCACUAUUUGGGCUCGGGCAAGUCCUUUGGAAUUCACAUGAAGUCCUAGUCCAGUAAAUCGGACCAUUUCUCCAAUGCUCUUUUAGUUCACUCUCUCGAUAGUGGACCACCGGAAGGCGCCCCCGAGACAAUUUAAUAUCACCAUUACCUUCUGUAGUUUACACUUAAGAGUAAAAGAUUAGGUAGGUCCAGAUACACGAAAUAAACAAGAUUUGAUCACUUCAUACUAUCCCACAUGUAUCACACCAUAUCAAGACUCCUUGUCAUCCACUAAUUCGAACUUAGGUUCUAAUUUUUCAUUUUCACAAGCAGUCACUUAACUUUCAAUCAAAUUCCACAGUCCGGCAUCCUAAACAUUUAAGCCUAUGAUACACUACAGAGAUGUAAAGCCUAAGCUCUGAUACCAACUGUGACGCCCCCACUUCUCCCUAAGGCGCACCAAAGGGUAUCCGCGGAACGCCUGCCUAGCUCUCGCCAGGACUCAAGCAAUAAACGUUCAAGCUUAAAGCGAUACUAGAUACCACAAUCAAAUUAGUGCAAAUACAUAUAGUGCGGAAACGUUCAUGCUUAACAAUAUCCAUACAGUUCUCAGGGUCACAUCACAAGGUACCUAUCAGCUUGCCACCCGCACGUCGUGCGUUCAUAAUACAACUUAAAUUUCAAAAUAUACACCCCAUAUAUCCGAAUGAUAUAUUAAACUUCCAAAAGUACAAUCAUAAAGGGGUCGAGCCAAAAUACACUUGAAACCCUAAAACACAAUAUAUCUAAAAGGAGAUUUCUCCGCGUUAACUCCAUUUCCAGUCCUGUUAAGGAAAACAAAUCUACAGGGUGAGCAAAACGCUCGUGAGGCCAAGAACACACAUGCAAGCACUUUGUUCAAAUAGCAAUCCCAAAUUCAUUAAACAAAACCGUAACAAGUCAGUUUUGUUAUGAAUCUUUGAAAAAUCGUAACUCACUCGGUACAAGUCGAGAAUUGGAAAACUUUAUACCGUUGGAAACCUCUUAGAAAGUACUAUAAGUUCCUAGAAGACACUUUUCCAUGAAUCGAAGUGGAAAGUGCUCAAAAAUGAGCUUGAAGGUACAGAAUUGGUUCACAAGGCAGAAUGAAGUUGGAUUUUGGCCAACUUUGAAAAUUCUGCACGAUUCGUACGUUGCAAACCAGCCUCUGAAAUUUGUCACUCAAGUAGUGUUGCAAGUGAAGUUUAUAACAAAACAAGCGGAUCAAGAAUCGGAGUUUCGAGUACCGAGAUACGGUAGCUCAAAGUUAGGCAAAUUCAAGACUGGAGAAGAAUUUCCAGAUUUGAACCUCCAACACUAGAAAUUUAAUUAGGUAUCGAAACGAACUUGGAUUGAUACCAAAAUUGGCAGUAUUUCGAUACUAUAUGGAAGGUAUCUCUCUGUCAAAUUUCAGGGAGAAAUACCCUCGGGAAGGUGGUCAACUAAUCACCCAAAGUUCCGGAAAAUUCCUAAGGCAAUCUGCCUUUUGACUUUCAUUUUCCAAAUUCAAAUCGUUUAACCAAGAAAGCUAUCCAACCAUGGUUCAUUUGUGAAAUAAAGGUCUAAGAUACAACCAUGAUACCUUUGGUAAUGGUUUAGCAUCAAAAUUUCAAUUAAUAAGAUUACUCACGGGUUUUUGUCCGAAACCAGUCCAAAUAAUACGUUUUUCCAAAACAGGGCAGUCCUCUUAUUUUGGUCACAACUCAGUCAAUUUAGCUUGGAAUUGAGAGUGGUUUAUGGCGUUGGAAAAUAAAUUCAUAGGACUAAAAGUUCACAGAAGAAAUCGUUUCAAAAUUUGGCAAGCAACCAGCUCGAAAUUGAGCCUCAAGUUGCUGCCUCUACAGACCAUUCCAGCAGUUCCGAGAAACAGGACAGUGAUCUUAAAACGUUUGGUCCGGCUCACUCACAAAGAAUCAGAACAUGCAUUUUAUCUCAAAUUAAAGCCUGGGAUGUCUAGUUUCAAACGCCACUGACGGCACAUGAUUUCGACAUCCGAGGACAGAGUUAUAGUCGAAAUACCACAGCUGGUCUGAGCCAUACGGGAACAGUUUCCAGAUUUGCUAGUUUCCCAAAAAAAUUCAUUUGCCCAACCAAACCUUAUUAUUUUUCAAUGAAACUUUUCACACAUCUAAUAUAACAUAUAAGCAUCAGGUUCAUGCCAAUAAUUCACCAAAAAUUGGCCUUAUAGUGGCCGAACAAAACAGGGGUAUUUUCGGAAAUUUUUGCUUCUUGCACCCAAUGAAGUUUCUAUCAAUUACCCACCACUAAUCCAUCAUUUUAACCACUAAACCAACAAUAUAACCACCAUCAAUCAUCAAAUCAGCAACAACCCAAGUGUGGGAAUCCAUAGAGCCCACUUUUCAAAUUUUACACCAAUGUCAAGACACCCAUACACAUGCAAUAGCUUAAAGAUGCAUUUCUACCAUCAUAAUCCAAGUUUAAGGUGUAGGAUGAUGUUAUACCUCCUUGGUGUCUUAAACCAGAAAUUUUCGGUCCUCUAGUGCUCCAAGAAACCGUGAAAAACUCCUCCUUUUGCUAGCUAGAUGAACUCUCCAAGCAACAAACUAAGUGUAGUUCAAAUUUGGUGUGAAUCUAUGAAGGUUUUGUGCAAGAAUUGAAGAUGAAAAUGGCAACUUUGUGUUGUGUUUUUGCUGCAGAGAAUUCGGCCAAGAGAGAGACUAAGAG
rnacentral:lncRNA from 1 species